rnacentral:tRNA from 1 species
GGGAUUGUGGUUCAGUGGUAGAGUGCUUGCCUAGCAUGCAUGAGGCAUGAGGUAUCCAGCUUCAAUACCA